AAAUCAACCGAGAUUCCCCCAGUAGCGGCGAGCGAACGGGGAGCAGCCCAGAGCCUGAAUCAGUGUGUGUGUUAGUGGAAGCGUCUGGAAAGGCGCGCGAUACAGGGUGACAGCCCCGUACACAAAAAUGCACAUACUGUGAGCUCGAUGAGUAGGGCGGGACACGUGGUAUCCUGUCUGAAUAUGGGGGGACCAUCCUCCAAGGCUAAAUACUCCUGACUGACCGAUAGUGAACCAGUACCGUGAGGGAAAGGCGAAAAGAACCCCGGCGAGGGGAGUGAAAAAGAACCUGAAACCGUGUACGUACAAGCAGUGGGAGCCUCUUUAUGGGGUGACUGCGUACCUUUUGUAUAAUGGGUCAGCGACUUAUAUUCUGUAGCAAGGUUAACCGAAUAGGGGAGCCGAAGGGAAACCGAGUCUUAACUGGGCGUUAAGUUGCAGGGUAUAGACCCGAAACCCGGUGAUCUAGCCAUGGGCAGGUUGAAGGUUGGGUAACACUAACUGGAGGACCGAACCGACUAAUGUUGAAAAAUUAGCGGAUGACUUGUGGCUGGGGGUGAAAGGCCAAUCAAACCGGGAGAUAGCUGGUUCUCCCCGAAAGCUAUUUAGGUAGCGCCUCGUGAAUUCAUCUCCGGGGGUAGAGCACUGUUUCGGCAAGGGGGUCAUCCCGACUUACCAACCCGAUGCAAACUGCGAAUACCGGAGAAUGUUAUCACGGGAGACACACGGCGGGUGCUAACGUCCGUCGUGAAGAGGGAAACAACCCAGACCGCCAGCUAAGGUCCCAAAGUCAUGGUUAAGUGGGAAACGAUGUGGGAAGGCCCAGACAGCCAGGAUGUUGGCUUAGAAGCAGCCAUCAUUUAAAGAAAGCGUAAUAGCUCACUGGUCGAGUCGGCCUGCGCGGAAGAUGUAACGGGGCUAAACCAUG
rnacentral:rRNA from 1 species